CUUGGACAGUGUGUGUGGGAGCAGAGGGGACCCUGACCUUCCUGUGAAGUGUCAUGAGCCCAUAAGGACAGUUGGCUGAUGGCCUGGGCACCUGUCCAGCUACAAUCUCCAUGCUGCAUCUUAGGAGCAAGAGAAAUUGAGAGGAGAUUCAGGGUUUGUGUUUGUGGCUUAGGGGGAUGGGACACAGCAGGAGGCAGGGGCUCAGCAGCCAGAAGCCCUUGGUUAACAGGAAAUGGCCCGGUGUCAGAGCCCAGCUUCUUCAUGUCCUUGGCUGCCACAUUGAAGAGGAGGUGACAAAUCCCUGAGAGCAGUCACGGGUCACUUCCUGGCCUUUACCCUGGGCCACCACCUUGGGGUCUGUAUACCGAAGCCUCGGUCCCAUGAACCAGCUUGUGAACUAACUUCUGCGGUGUACGUGUAGACUCUGGCACAAACAUGAGGAUGGAUCUCUUGUGCCGUCCAGGAGAGAAGGCUUCACUUUUAUCCCGCUGGAACUUGCCUGUCACUGCCUGCCACCAUUGAUGUCUCGUCCCCGAAUGCUGCAGAAGGGGAAAACAUUCAUCUCCUUGUUCAUAAUCUGCCAGAGAACCUUGGAACCCUUUCCUGGUGUGGCAAAGAACUGAGGACCAGGGUUGCCUGCUCUCUCUGGGAUGAAGGAACUGGCUUGGAGUUCCUUGGCCCCUGAGGAACGAGGAGGUUACUGAGCACAGGCGGAGAGCUGGUACCCUAGCAGAAUCUGUGGAACAGUUGGUGAUGUGAUCCAAACUCCUUCUGUCUUUCAAUCAUUGUGCACAGAUUUGAUUUAAUAAAAGUCUCCACACCACACAGUGAGCAGCAAGGCUGAGAAGUGUCUGUGCCCUGAGAGAGAGGCAGCUCACCCCAAGGAUGGCCUCUGCUGAGUCCUGACCUCGGUCUGUCAGAACCAGAGAAGGAACCACUGGCUUCUCAACGUGAUCUUUGUGACAUAAAAAUCCCCGUUGUUCUUCUGGGCUGCCCUGAGUUUACACCCAACAUGCAGAGAUAUCUCCCAGGCCUAGGAUGGGACUAAGUGGAUGACGACUGCGUGAAGGAACUUAACCAUGAUCACAGAGUUCGGUUCCAG
rnacentral:lncRNA from 1 species